GAGCCUGCGACUUUUGUCGCAGAAAGCUCGACAUAGGGAUAGUGAUCUGGCGGCGGCGGCGGCAUUAGCUAACUUCUUAAAAGCUUUAUAUUUUAGAAGCUAGAAGACCUGGAUGCUUCAUACUUUGUAUAUAGAUGCCUUAUGUUACGAAGUUUCCGUCUGUCAUAUGUCCAAUGUCCUUGACCUCAUUUUCAUGGUUCAGUGACUACUUGAAAAAAAAGUCAACAUUUUUUGUAAUGUUAAUUUCUUUCUUAUUAUGAGUAAUAGGAUAACUAUAUUUAGUAUGUGCGUACCUUGCAAGGUCCUCAUGCCCGUCAGACAAUUUUCAUUUGACCUCGACCUCAUUUCAUGGAUCAGUGAACCAGGUUAAGUUUUCGUGGUCAAGUCCAUAUAUCAGAUACUAUAAGUAGUAGGUCUACUAUAUUUGGUAUAUGGAAUGAUUGUAAGGUGUACAUGUCCAACUGGUAGGUGUCAUCUGACCUUGACCUCAUUUUCAUGGUUCAGUGGUCAAAGUUAAGUUUUUGAGUUUUGGUCUUUUUUUCUAAUACUAUAUGCAAUAGUUCAACUAUAUUUGGUGUAUGGAAAUAUUUUAUGAUCUAUAUGUCAGUCACGCAGGUUUUAUUUGACCUUGACCUCAUUUUCAAGGUUCAUUGCUCAGUGUUAAGUUUUUGUGUUUUGGUCUGUGUUUCUUAUACUGUAUGUAAUAGGUCUACUAUAUUUGGUGUAUGGAAUGAUUGUAAGGUGUACAUGUCUAGCUGGCAGGUGUCAUCUGACUUUGACCUCAUUUUCAUGGAUCAGUGGUCAAAGUUAAGUUUUUGAGUUUUGGUCUUUUUUUCUAAUACUAUAUGCAAUAGUUCAACUAUAUUUGGUGUAUGGAAAUAUUUUAUGAUCUAUAUGUCAGUCAGGCAGGUUUUAUUUGACCUUGACCUCAUUUUCAAGGUUCAUUGCUCAGUGUUAAGUUUUUGUGUUUUGGUCUGUUUUUCUUAAACUAUAAACAAUAGGUCAACUAUAUUUGUUGUAUGGAAGAAUUGUUAGCUGUACAUGCCUGCCUAGCAUGGUUCAUCUGACCUUGACCUCAUUUUCAUGGUUCAUUGGUCAAUGUUUAGUUUACUUGGUUAUUGUUAAGUUUAUGUGACAGUUGUAAUAAAGCUUUAUAUUUAGGACUAUCAACAUAAUAUAAAUGAUUAGUAAAGAAGGCGAGACAUUUCAGCGUGUGCACUCUUG